CUAAAGGGCAAAUCUUCGUGUUCUGUAAAAGGAGGCAACACGUCCAAGCAUUUUUUUUUCAUGAGAAAUUGAGGGGUUUUAUACCACAUGACUUGAGAACUGAAGGACAGAUGAAGAAUGUGCUAGCCAAAAUUUCCGCACUUCAUGUUGAGAUCACGUGCUGUGAGAUAGUGGGAAGUGUUCACAUCUGCUGCCUUCAUGAUGCCACCUGGAGCUUGCAGUUUUUAAUUAUUAUUUUUAUCUUGAUAUACUUGAUAGUAACCAAGUACCUAUUUUGAAAUAGUUUUUGUUUGUCAGGGCAUUAGGUACAGUAGUGUUAUCGCACGUAUUUUCUCUAAGAUUUCACAAACUUGCAUAUAGUUUAAGACAACAGCUGUAAGGAUGUUCUAGUAGCUGUGUUAUAGUGUAUUUUUAUCAUUUUUGCCUAGGCUAUUCUGAUUGGUUAAAUUGAAUCCUAGUCUUGCAAAUACUAACUGGGAAGAUAAUUUGCAGUAGUUCACUAUUAUAUGAAAGACUAUUCAGGGAGAAAUUUUCAUUGUUCUAUAUUAUUCUUUCUUUA
rnacentral:lncRNA from 1 species